CAGAAGCUGCAGCAACAUUGUUGUAACAUUGCAAAAUUGCAUAUUGCAGUGCAAUAUUACAGCAAAAUUGCAAAAACAAUAUUGUGCAAUAUUAUUUCUGCAAUAUUGCAGCUAUAUUGCAAAGAUAUUAAUUUGCAGUAACAAUUGAAUAUCCGUGAACGAAUGUCCUAUGCGACGCUAAACGCUUUAAGCUCCUCUUUUUACCUCCUCUUUUAACCUCUAUUCGUUGAUAGAUGUUACAAAAAAACUUGAUUGCGAUUGUUCAAUUUUUAAAGCUUACGACUUAAAUUACCAAAUGUUAGACUAGUUAGGGUUAAAGUCGGUCUUGACUCUAUGACUCAUUGUAAAACCAGCUUGUCGUCAUGCUAUAUCAAUAUUCUAAUUCUGGUGAAGAAGACCUUGUGCCUCCAUCCAAAUCAGCAGAGACCUGGUCACGUGAUCAGUUUACCACUCUCUCCCUUUGAGGAUCUCUAGCUGGAAGCUGGAAUCUCCUUACAGUGUCUGUUACGUAGCUGGAGAAAAGUAUGUAAGUCAAGUUGCAGAUGACACAAAUAUGUGUGUUGAGAAACUAACGGAGCCUUAUAACCUUUCUGAAAGACCUCAUUGGAACCACCGUACUCAUAAAUUGUAUUUUGUCGACCUAUAUAAGUAUAUACGUAGACUACACCCUGCAACAGAAGCUAUUCGUAUCCCACAGCGCAAUGACAGACGACUGUGCGGAAUAUGUAUCGAAAUGGCUUGCAUAAGCUGUACGGAUUUCAAGGCAAAAAAUUGGAGAAACGGUGGCUCAUGAUUAACAAU